rnacentral:misc_RNA from 1 species
AACGCACAUUGCGCCUACUGGUAUUCCGGUAGGCAUACCUGGUUGAGCAUCAAGCAAAUAGAUGGGCAAAUAUAAAAAAUGCUUAGUGAAGUUAAUUUGUCAAAUUUGAGAUUGAAUUAGUAAAAUCUAUUUCAAACUUUAAAGCUGUUGCACAAGCUACUCUCCGAUAAAGUAUAUGGAUUGGUGUUAAAUUAUCUUCCGUUACCAUAAGGAUAAAGCUAUUGUGUUAAAUUCGAAGAUGUCUCUUACAGACAACUUAGUUCUGAUAUCAGAUCAGGUAAGGAUACCCGCUGAACUUAA